AAAAUGCUGUUUCUCUCAAUGACUCCCCAUGCUCGUUCCCAACGAGCUGUUCUUACGGCCAGGAAGAUGGGGAAAAGGAAGAAAGUUACACGAGAAAUGGACCAGGGGGGACAUCAGGCCACAGCCCACGCCGCGGCUGACACGUCUGACGAGCCUGACAUUUCAAGGGUGUGUUUUAUCCAUCGCCGUGCACCAGCGCAAUAUCGGGCCCCAGCACUGCAGCACCACCUUCCCGUGGUCCUUCCUGGUGCUGGAGGGGAUGGAGUGCUGUUGUGAUUCAAGCUCUUCAAACCUUUGCUCCACUGCAUCAGCGCUUCAGAGCUGUACUUGAAAAUGUGAAGAGCCGGCACAAUUGCAGAGAAACUAAAAUAAAUUGAUUUUUA